AACGAACGCUGGCGGCAGGCCUAACACAUGCAAGUCGAGCGCCCCGCAAGGGGAGCGGCGGACGGGUGAGUAACGCGUGGGAACGUACCCUUUGCUACGGAAUAGCCUCGGGAAACUGGGAGUAAUACCGUAUGUGCCCUUCGGGGGAAAGAUUUAUCGGCAAAGGAUCGGCCCGCGUUGGAUUAGGUAGUUGGUGGGGUAAUGGCCUACCAAGCCGACGAUCCAUAGCUGGUUUGAGAGGAUGAUCAGCCACACUGGGACUGAGACACGGCCCAGACUCCUACGGGAGGCAGCAGUGGGGAAUCUUAGACAAAUGGGCGCAAGCCUGAUCUAGCCAUGCCGCGUGAGCGAUGAAGGCCUUAGGGUUGUAAAGCUCUUUCAGUGGGGAAGAUAAUGACUGUACCCACAGAAGAAGCCCCGGCUAACUCCGUG
rnacentral:rRNA from 1 species